AGCGGAUAUAGGUAUCUUGCUACUGAUCUUAGCGGCGGACGGGUGGGUACUCAUAGGGGUCUGCCUAUUAUUGGGGUAGACGUUUCUUUUUGAAUGCUAAUACCGAAUACUUCCUACGGGAGAACAUAGGGGAUCUGCGGACCUUGCGCUAAUAAAUGACCCUACGUCGGAUUAGCUACUGGGUGGGGUAAAGGCCUACCAAGGCGACUAUCUGUAGCGGGUCUGAGACGAUGAUCCGCCCCACUGGGACUGAGACACGGCCCCACUCCUACGGGAGGCAGCAGUGGGGAAUAUUGGACCCGGGCGCAAGCCUGAUCCAGCCAUGCCGCGUGUGUGAAGAAGGCCUUAUGGUUGUAAAGCACUUUAAGCGAGGAGGAGGCUACUUUAGUUAAUACCUAGAGAUAGUGGACGUUACUCGCAAAAUAAGCACCGGCUAACUCUGUGCCAGCAUCCGCGGUAAUACAGAGGGUGCAAGCGUUAAUCGGAUUUACUGGGCGUAAAGCGCGCGUAGGCGGCUAAUUAAGUCAAAUGUGAAAUCCCCGAGCUUAACUUGGGAAAUGCCUUCCAUACUGGUUAGCUAGAGUGGGGGAGAGGAUGGUAGAAUUCCAGGUGUAGCGGUGAAAUGCCUACAGAUCUGGAAGAAUACCGAUGGCGAAAGCAGCCAUCUGGCCUAACACUGAACGCUGACGUGCGAAAGCAUGGGGAGCAAACAGGAUUAGAUACCCUGGUAGUCCCAUGCCGUAAACGA
rnacentral:rRNA from 1 species